AGAUUGAACGCUGGCGGCAUGCUUUACACAUGCAAGUCGAACGGUAACAGGCCGCAAGGUGCUGACGAGUGGCGAACGGGUGAGUAAUGUAUCGGAACGUGCCCAGUCGUGGGGGAUAACGCAGCGAAAGCUGCGCUAAUACCGCAUACGAUCUAUGGAUGAAAGCGGGGGACCGUAAGGCCUCGCGCGAUUGGAGCGGCCGAUAUCAGAUUAGGUAGUUGGUGGGGUAAAGGCUCACCAAGCCAACGAUCUGUAGCUGGUCUGAGAGGACGACCAGCCACACUGGGACUGAGACACGGCCCAGACUCCUACGGGAGGCAGCAGUGGGGAAUUUUGGACAAUGGGCGCAAGCCUGAUCCAGCAAUGCCGCGUGCAGGAAGAAGGCCUUCGGUUGUAAACUGCUUUUGUACGGAACGAAACGGUCUUGGUUAAUACCUGGGCUAAUGACGGUACCGUAAGAAUAAGCACCGGCUAACUACGUGCCAGCAGCCGCGGUAAC
rnacentral:rRNA from 1 species